AGGACGUUAAGAGUUUGUUGUGAUCAGCAAGAAACUUAUCGGUAGAUAUUACCGUUUUUGAGUCUUCGCGAAGAAUAGGUGUUUGAGAAGAUGUUAGUAUGUAUGACUGUUUGGCCUUCCAAGAAGGUGCCUUUAUCGAGGAAGGUAAUUUUGUCUAAAAAUGGUUCUUCAGGCGUCUGCGACGUCUCGCAAUGCUGAAGAUUGAUUUUUUCUUUCGUAUGCCGCGUUUCGUGGUCGAAAUGUUCGCGGGCUUGAAGAUGUUUCGCGAUAUUGCAAGGUUUUAGUCUUAACCCUGCGUUUGAGAAACAUUCAGGUUUGUCUACAGAUGUUCGCAGCCAAAAUUGUUGUUCCUGUUUGGAUGCUAAUAAUUUGAUUUGCGAUCGAGGAAUUAGGACCGAGGGGUCGCGAAAAUUUGUCCCUGGGAAGAAGUGUUUUCCUUCGUAGUGCUUUGUACUGUGUUGGCUUUGCGAGAUCGAUUUCGUGUACAUUUAAGGAUGUUUCGUAUAGCUCUAGAAGCUCUGUUACGAUUUUUUCUUACAUGCCGUAUUUUAUCGUGUAAAACAUAACUGGCUUUAAAGUUAUCGGUGGAACGUAUUAAACUUGGUCGAAUGUCGACAAGUUUAGGUUUUCCGUUAACCGUUUGGUUGUUAGGACUGAGUUUUGUUACGAAGAAUUUAUCAUAUGAUUUUCGACUAUGUGUUAUUCGAUAAUUAUACUGUCAUGAUAUCCUUGGGCUCUUUUCUUUGCAGAUGGGCUUGCUUCCGAGCUUUGGACCUUUGUUGGUUUGCUUACGGAUGAUUUCCCGAGAAGACGUUCUUGAUACGGCAUCGUCUUUGUUGAAUACUCAAAACGGCUAUGCGGCCCACGCGGUUUAAGUUAACCAUUGUUGUUUCGCACGGUCCAUUUGAAUUCUUCGAAAGACGUACUUUAGUGGUUUUAUCGUAAUUCUCCAACGGUAACAUCAACGGGACGUUGAACAUGACUGGCGGGUUAUCCGUAAGCGUUGCACUGACCGCUCCAUGCCGGCCCGGAAGAACGAGGAGCUGAUUGCCUCGUGGCGGCCCGGAGAGGCGAGGAACUGGUCGCCCAUGGCGACCGCGAGGAAGACGCCUGCCGGUCGCUCGUGGCGUCCGCUAGGGAGGCGACGCCGGUCGCCCGUGGCGACCGCGAGGGAGCCGACGCCGGUCGCCCGUGGCGACCGCGAGGGAGCCGACGCCGGUCGCCCGUGGCGACCGCGAGGGAGCCGACGCCGGUCGCCCGUGGCGACCGCGAGGGAGGCGACGCCGGUGGCCCGUGGCGACCGCGAGGGAGGCGACGCCGGUGGCCCGUGGCGACCGCGAGGGAGGCGACGCCGGUUGCCCGUGGCGACCGCGAGGGAGGCGACGCCGGUGGCCCGUGGCGACCGCGAGGGAGGAGACGCCGGUGGCCCGUGGCGACCGCGAGGGAGGCGACGCCGGUGGCCCGUGGCGACCGCGAGGAUGGCGUUCUCGGUCGCCGAGUCAACGGUCGCCCAUGGCGACCGCGAAGGCGGCGAGUCAACAAUCGCCCUGUGGCGCACGGAUUAAUCUUUGUAGGCUCGGGCCUGGUUGUUGCGUAUUAUCUUGAAACCUUGAUUGUUUCCCGAUCUUGUUCUGAACGUCUUUAUGAUCGAUCGUGCGAGUCGGAGGAUGCUUUGGUUAAGUUUAUCGCAGAUUUUCGAAGGCUGUUUUUUUUUCCGAAGGUUUUUGAAUGUUAAUCCUGUCGUGACCGGUUUUGACCCUAACAGAAUUUUUGACAUUGAUUCCGUCGUGACCGAUUUUGACCCCGACACGAAGCAUAGAAGCAAGUGAUGGAAAAGGAGACAUUACGGUAAUGGGUGUUAAAUUCAGCUAACUACGUUUACUCUGUUCAUCAUCGGGCAAUGGAAAGCUCAUAUUGGAGUUGUGUAGCACGAGGCGGAGUGAUAAACCGUGGGAGCUCCAUAGAUCUUACCGGAGUUAUUCCCAAUGUUAUUUGAUUAGUUUUUUCAGGUAAUUUGCUCGCUUUGUGAGACAGAACAAGACAUGAAUAUGACCUUUUGAAUACAAAUUUUAUUUGUGUAAAUAUGUUUCUUGAUGAUGACCAUUGUAUGUGAAAUUUUUCUGUAUGUGAGAUUAUUUUAUUGUUUUUUCUCUUUUAAAGUGGCAUAAUCAUUCUUGACUACAAUGCAAAGUGACUAGAAUGUGAAUUUCCAAGUGGAUACCAAGCAAGAAUCAUACCUCGGCGAAGUGGUGUCCUUAAAAUGUAAGAUUUUGGAAGGAGCCUAGGCUGAAAAGGCAGCCACAGAAUCUAACAAACCAGAAAAUUGUAAUGCAAAUGAUGGGAUCUAGGAAGGAGAGCUCCCUAGAUCUUUUGAGGGAAGCACGUUGAAAAGGUAAUAGGUGCUGCAGUGGCUGAUGGGACAGUUACUCCAAAAGUUCAAUCGUUGAUCAAACAACUCCUCAAGUAUCAGGAUCAGCACACUUUCAUGCUAUUUAUUUGAUGAGAAUUUGCUUGGUUCUUCUAAAGGUUAGGAUGAAAGUGAAAAGAAAUUUGAUAGUGUUGAUUACAUGAUACAUCUUUACUGUGAGUAUUUCUGAGCUUGGAUUUCUUUUCAGGUUUCGACAGUUGCCUUCUCUUAGUUUUAUACGGUGCGCCAGCAAGAUUGGGCACAAUAACAGCCCAAUCAUCUGAAAUAAAGAUAUUGGCAUGUAUGAAUAGUUGUCUUUGUUUCAUAUAGUUCUUUUGGAUAAACAUUAAGAAGUUUAUCUUUUCUUUUGACAAGUCUUUUUCUCUUUCGUAUGAUUGAUGACACUUUUUGUUGCCGCAUGCGUUACUAAGGAAGGUUUUGAUAUUAGACAAUGUAACUUCUCCAUGUGUUUUGAACUUGCAAAGACGGUGUUGGCAUACAUUCAGAACCAUUGGUAGGAAAAGAAAACAUGGAUCAGACUACGUACUCAUGGUUUGUGAGUUACAUAUGUUUUGUAAUCUAUAAGACAAAAGCUUUAAAAUCUACAAUUUUUGCAACAACUGGUUAGCAAAUCUAGACAAUCAAUCUAUCAUAUCUGUCAACACGUGUUGCUUGUAGAGAAAAUGUAUCUCACGCAGCAAGUCUUAAGGAAUGCUAAAAAUAUUGAGGAGACACUGCGGAAAAAGCAAUAAAAGGACUGAUAUUAGUCACCUAACACUAAAAGACACGUCAAGGAUAAUGGCUUAAUGUAUUUUAUUUAGAAUUUAGGCUUCAAAUCCAAUUAUAAUUUCAUGGCUAAUUUCGCUUUUAAAGAAAUCUUACAGUACUAAAAGGGGAUAUAAGCUCCAUUUUGUCUAUCCACCUAGAAUAAAAAAUUCAAAACCAAUCAAAGUGCACAUAAGCAAACAAUUAAAAAAACAAUAAUAGUAUAAAUAUGUAAAUCGACUCUAUUCUCUCUACGAUAUCCUUCUUCUCUUUUUCUACCCUUUGAAUUUCCCCGAUAAAAAAAAAAUAUAUGUAACCCUUUUAAUCUAUUCUUUUGGCUUCCCACGUUCAUUGUUACCCCGGAAAAAUCCAUCGUUUCGGCUUCGAUAUAGGUAUUAUAGAGUUAUUGUGUUUUAUCUUAUACUUAGCAUCAGAUCAAGUUAACAAAAAAAAAAUAGUGAUGUUACUAAGCUUCAGAUCAAGGUCGAUGAGAAUACCGGUCUAUUCGUCGAUGCUCGCUUCUAGACCUUUUUUUUCAUCGGUCGCCACUGAAUGGGUGAAAGGAAAAGCCAUGGAGGAAGUCCUGACCAUCAGAACACAUAAGUAGCCUGUGUUUGUCUCUUGCAAGUUACAAAUGUUGUUAUGAUCUGUCACAAACAUAUAAAAUAUUUUGUCACCAUGUUCGCGUUUCAAGGCAUUUUCGUAGUAUGUUUUCAGUCGUUGCAUUACAUGAACUUGGGGUUUCUAAUUGGUUCACUCUUUCACAUAAUACUAAAAGGGGGAUAUGAGCUCCAUUCAAUCUAUCCACCUAGGAUACAAAAUUCAAAAUCAAUCAAAGCUCCACCUAAGAAAACAAUUAAAAAACAAUAAUAGUAUAAAUAUGUAAAUCGACUCUAUUCUCUCUACGUUAUCCUUCUUCUCUUUCUCUACCCUUUGAAUUUCCCUGAUCAAAAAAACAUAUAUGUAACCCCUUUAAUAUCUUCUUUUGGCUUCCCACGUUCAAUGUUACCCCGGAAAAAUCCAUCGUCUCGGCUUCGAUAUAGCUAUUAUAGAGUUAAUGUGUUUUAUCUUAUACUUGGCAUCAUAUCAAGUUAACAAAAAAAAAUAGUGAUGUUACUAAGCUUCAGAUCAAGGUCGAUGAGAAUACCGGUCUAUUCGUCGAUGCUCGCUUCUAGACCUUUGUUUUCAUCGAUCGGUAUGUCCAUUCUCUUACUUUUAGAGGCAAGUAGAUAUAUAUAUGGUGACAUUCAAUCGUAAAUUUAAAAACUUUGUGUUUGCCAAAAACAAAUUUCUUAAAUAUUUUCCCUUUUAUGUGAUAUGUCCUAUGUUUGCGAUGCGAUCUUCAUAUGAAAACGAAAAGAUUCUGGUUAGAGGUUAGAUUUUUGUGUGAAUAGUAACGUUGCAGUUUUGUAAUGUAGAUUGAUUUAAUGUUCUCAGCCACUGAAUGGGUGAAAGGCAAAGCCAUGGAGGAAGUCUUGACCAUCAGAACACAUAAGUAGCCUUUGUUUGUCUCUUGCAAGUUACAAAUGUUGUUAUGAUCUGUCACAGACACUACAAUAUAUAAAAUAUUUUGUCACCAUGUUCGCAUUUCAAGGCAUUUUGGUAGUAUGUUUUCAGUCGUUGCAUUACAUGAGCUUGGGGUGUCUAAUUGGUUCACUCUUUCACUGUAGACAAUUCACAUGCCA